UAAAGAGUUUAAAUGUGAAAUCGAAAGUAGAAAGUGCAUGUGUUCAGAUUCUUGUACUUUCCUUAUUCCAAAAGAGAUAAAUAAAUAAAUAGUAAUGACCUUCCAUAGCUGAAAUGUAAGAUGAAUCUCUGAGACUCGUAUAAGAUUAUGUGAAAACACUUUAGGUGUAUAUACUUACAAAAGAAGCAAAGAUGGCAGGAGGUAAGUCACUCAUGUUUCCCAAUAACGGCUUUAAUUAAUACUGUAAAGAGGAAGGAAUGAGAUGCAAUGGACAAAACUUAGAUUUGAACGCAGACCCCUAAAUCUCUAGCGAGGUCCAAAUGCAACGGACCAGACCGGGAUUCGAACCCGGCCCCCCUGAAUCUUUAGUCAGGUGCUCUACCAACUGAGCUAACUGACCACCGCCGAUUGAACCUGGCUGACCGCUACAUUCCUCCCUCCUUAAAUGUCUUCACGUGUGAAGACAUCCUUAAAUGUCUUCACAUGUGAAGACAUCAACUCAGAAUCUUAAUCCCUGGCUGGCUGGCAUUUUCACCUGUCGGUUCCAGGGGCUGGUCUACGGCACCAAAUGUAACAGGAAGGGAGAAAAUGCAACGGACCAGACCGGGAUUCGAACCCGGGCCCCCUGAAUUUCUAGUCAGGUGCUCUACCAACUGAGCUAUCUGGCCACUGGCAAUCAAAACCAGCUGACCGCUACAUUAGCAACAAACAUCUAACCUGACUGACCGUCACAUUUCCCCUCUCAGAAUACACAAUCUCUAUCCUCCUAGCAUGUAAUCUUACACAUGUCAUUUACAGAGCCCCAAGUGUAAAAAAGAUGGAAGAAAAUGUAACAGAACACACAGGGAUUUAAGUUGAUUGGGCACUCAGAAUUUCUUGUCAAUUACUCAAAGACUAAUCAUGACAAAAAACACUGUAAUACAGACUCUGAUGUUAGUUGACUGAAUGCAAUGAGCAUUUAUAUCGAGAUAAAGUUUUGCUUUUCCUCUUUUAGUUAAUAUUCAAGACAGAACACCAACUGAGAAGGAACUCUUAGAAGUGAGUAAACACAUUGGGACCAGUUUCCAGUUAGUGGGAGUGAGUCUUGGAUUAAGCAGCAUUAAAAUCCAACAAAUAAUCAUGAACCAUGGCAACAGCGUGCAGACCCAGAUAUUUCAAAUGCUCAUCACCUGGAAAAACAAGGAGGGGCGACUCGCAACAGUACAGAGAUUGCUACAAGCUGUGAGGGACACUCCAGGCGAUGUUAAUAUCAUGGAGAUAGAAAGACUUUUUAAGUUGUGAUAGAAUUAAGGAGGCGUGACACACUAGAUAAAUCUGGAUGUUAAUAUCGUGGAGAUAUAGAGUUUUUAAUUCAAUGUGAUACAUGUAGAAUUAAGGAGGGAUAACACAUUAGAAAAAUCUAAAUCAUAUCAAAAUCCAAAUGUUCCUAAGCUCUGUAGAUUUUAUUAUGCCCCAUGACUAAAGACUGUUUGGGGGAGGGGCAUAUCAUUUUUUUGUCCUGUCUGUCUGGACCUUGCUUGUAACUUUUGAAUAGCAAGUGAUAGAGUUCUCAUAUCUCAUGUGUAUUCGUUGUGACAAGACUUUCUUGUGGUACCAAAGUGUUUGACUUUAUGUCUUUGACCUACUUUUAAGAAAAUCUAACCGAUAGGCAUUAUCUCUGGAACUAUUAUUUAUAGUUAGGCUUUUAUAUCCAUGUCCCCUGCGGGCCCUGCCCCCUUUCAAAGAAGAGGGGCAUAUUGUUUUGCACCUGUCGGUCAGUAUGUCAGUCGGUUGGUGGACAUGUCCACUCAAUAUCUUGAGAACUAUUCACUUGAUUGUAAUAUUUCAUGUGUAGACUGCCUAUGGUUAGAAGAGGGUCUCUAUUGUUUUUCAGGUAAAAAGGUCAUAGCUUAUGAAUAGUGAGUGAUACAUCUUUCAUAUAUGCAUUCCUGGCGACAGGACCUUUAUUUUUGAUACCAAAGAUUUUGACGUUUGUAACCUUGAUCUUGGAUUCGGACUGACUCUUAAGAAAAGUCUUAACUUAGGCAAUGUCUUCUGAACUGUUUAAGGUAGGGGUUCCAUGUGUUGUAUAAAGAUUCCUUAUUGCGAGACCUUACGUUUUUUAUACUAUGGUUGUUAUACCUUGCGACUUUGUAUCUGACAUAGUUAUGUCAUAUCCCUAUCAGGCUACAUUAGAACCACAAUUUGGAAUGAAAUGUUUUUACGGGGAAAAAAGAUUGCAAAAAAUCAGUAGCUGAAUUACAGCAGAGCUAAGGUGAUUCAUGUGAGCGAUGUGGCCCAUGGGCCUCUUGUUUUCUGCUGAAAUAUAGAUUUGUACACAUUGUUCUUAAUAAAACAUAUUACAAUGAGUCCUCAAUCAAAUAAAGCAAUAUUUAUUUGCCAUGAAGAAUAAAACAAAAACAUAGCAACAAGAACACAUCUUUUGACCACUUAAUACUUUUACUAUAUGUAUAACUUUAUUUUUAGUACUAAUAAACUUGUGUAUAUAAAUUAUCAUACAAAGUGAUGCCAUCAUUUCACAGAUGUAUAUAUUUGAGUUGCAGUGUUUGAAUAUCAUUAAUGUUCCUGAAUAAUUACAAAAAAUUAUUGUCUUUACCAUUUACUGUGUAAUCAACAAAUUUUGUGAAUACUCAAUUUUCUUAGAUUUUAGGGUCUCCCCUGCCAGGAAUCUCAAACCUGAACGAAAUACACAUUUUAUACAAUCUAAUUGAAAUUAGAUGUUAGAUCCACUUGCAUACUCGCUACACAAACAUCUAACAACAUCCCGUAGAGGGUCACGUCAGAGGUCAAAUUCGAUUGACCAAUGAAAUCACCGCUGGCAAAAUCAUUGAAUGUUUGUUGAAUCCGAUAAGUCUAGAGUGAUACCGAAUUUGACCUCUGACGUGACCCUCUAUGGGAUGUUUUUAGAUGUUUGUGGAGCGAGUAUGCGAGCGGAUCCAACAUCUAAUUGUAAUUAGAUUGCAUUUUAUAUAAUGUUCAAUGUAAGGAAACCAUAUCCACAGAAUCACAUCCAAAAAAAAAAAAAAACUCCCAACAAUCCACAAAAUUUGCCCUGUACGAAUUUAACUGAUUCCAGAGUAUACAGGUACUAUAGUUAGUUAUAAAUAUACCCGGUACAAGUACUGUAGUGAAGACUGCCUGAAGUCCUCGUUAUUUUCAUUGUCACUUGCAGUGUAAUCUCUCAUCUUUUGAUACUGUUUGAGUAUGACUAUGAGCAUUUUUGUUCUGUGAUUUGUAUUUUUGAUUUCAUAAAUUUCAUCUACAAUAAACUAGCUAACAAUACAAAAUGAAUACAGUUCAAUUGAAAGCAUAUUGGGUUCACUCCAUUCUACAGGUUCUCCUGAGUUAGUUCUCCUUAAACAUGAUCAACCCUGACUUGUUGACCCCAAUUUCUAUUCCCCCUAGCAA